UUAAUCAUUUUCUAAGAAACAUGGGCAGUAAGAAUUUUCCCAGAGCCGCAACAAAGAAAUCGUGAUGCACCUUGUUUAUACAAUCAGAUAGUAUAAUCGGAAAGUUUUCAAACAGUCACGACACAAGUGCUAUAUAAGAGAGAUAGGUUUGCUUGUUUACCAUCACUAUUGUUCAGCGAUAGAGAUUCCCACCUUCAGCUACUAUAGCGCCGGACGUUCCUCGAAGUUGCUGUAUACCCACGUGCGACAAUCUACAAUGAAACGCCAAUACCUUUUCCUGCUGGUGUGCCUGGUGAUUUUUACAAUGGAUGCUGUCUGUGCAUUGCCUGUGUCGGAUGAUGUUAGUCGUGUUAAACGUUUCACCUGCGACUUUAUAGCGUACUUUGGAAGUGGAGCUGCUACCGUUGCUUGUGCGCUCCACUGCAAGGGCCAUGGCAAAAGGACUGGCUAUUGUGAAAGGAGUACUUGCAUUUGCACUAAUUAAAUCUGAAGAAGAUAUCCAUUCGAAGAGAAUGCAGCUCUGCGGCAAAAUAACGGAUUAUAUCGCGUGUAUUUGAAAUUGAAUGAAUAAAAUGUUGCCGUUGCAUAUAACGUUUUGAGAUAUUUGAUUAAAACUAUUCAGCCCCUCAGUGAUUAUUUUAUAUGUUCUGAUAUAGCAUGUUAUCUUAAUUGAAAGACAAUUCAGCGUUUUCAACAGGUUGAUUGGAGGUCCCUCGAAAAGCACAAAACCAUUGAUUGG